rnacentral:tRNA from 1 species
CAGAAAGUGUCAAAAACUUACUAUUUCGGCCUUUUAAGCCGUGGGUCGCGGGUUCGAAUCCCGCCGUUCCCACCA